GAUGAACGCUGGCGGCGUGCCUAAUACAUGCAAGUCGAGCGAACAGACGAGGAGCUUGCUCCUCUGACGUUAGCGGCGGACGGGUGAGUAACACGUGGAUAACCUACCUAUAAGACUGGGAUAACUUCGGGAAACCGGAGCUAAUACCGGAUAAUAUAUUGAACCGCAUGGUUCAAUAGUGAAAGACGGUUUUGCUGUCACUUAUAGAUGGAUCCGCGCCGCAUUAGCUAGUUGGUAAGGUAACGGCUUACCAAGGCAACGAUGCGUAGCCGACCUGAGAGGGUGAUCGGCCACCCUGUAACUGAGACACGGUCCAGACUCCUACGGGAGGCAGCAGUAGGGAAUCUUCCGCAAUGGGCGAAAGCCUGACGGAGCAACGCCGCGUGAGUGAUGAAGGUCUUCGGAUCGUAAAACUCUGUUAUUAGGGAAGAACAAAUGUGUAAGUAACUAUGCACGUCUUGACGGUACCUAAUCAGAAAGCCACGGCUAACUACGUG
rnacentral:rRNA from 1 species